GUAAAACUGUGUAUUUUCCUGCCUGUGAUAAUUACGUUAGCCCAUUGUAUUCAGUAAUUAUAUCACAGGCAGAGGGGAGGAUUUUGCUAUAAUGACUGGGUUUGUCAGACAGUGUUGUAUUGUUUUGAUUGGUUUGUGUCCUUUGUGUGCCAGUGUUCCAUCAGGUCCAGGGGGUGUCCUCUGGCCUGAGGAAUUGUAUGAAUUGUG